CUGCGUGGUCUUUUUCGGUUUUGUCAGUGACGAGACAGCAAAGGGAAAAAGUGUUGACCGUCGUUUGCGAGCUAUGCGUAUUUGUCUUCUGUAAGCAGCAACACAGCAAUGCCAAAGCAACCCGUUGUGUGUUUGGGAAGGUAUGAAGAGUACUGUUCAGUCACAGACAUAUUUAUUAAUAUUACAGAAUAUACAGUACAAUCUCAUACACAAAUACUCAUAAAUACAAUUGUCCAUGUCACUUCAUGUCAAUGAAUAUGACGACAAGAAAAUUACAUUAGAAACUAAGAAUAGACAAUUGCACUUGUAAACUCGAACCCACCAAAAAGGAUGAAGCAAUAAACUAUUUACUUUAUUGCUGCCAAGUA